GAAGGUGGUUGCUGUUCUUGCUCCUUGGGAAAUGGUGAAUUGCAGUGUUCAUCAAUAGAGCCACUGACAAACACAGUUGUCAGUUGGUAUAUGCCUUCUUCCUUUGAGAAAACUGACUACUGUGUGAGUUGCUGUUUCUCCCACAGCUGCUUUCUAACCCAGGAAAAAGACCAUUACCUACAUAAUGGAGACCUACAGCUAACUGGAUACAUCCUGCUGUGUUUACUUCUCAUCAUUGACUUAUCUGCUAAUGUU
rnacentral:lncRNA from 1 species